GACUGGGGGUGACAGGCGCUAUUACCAAACCCGGCGUGACUGCCUGUUCGGACACGACCUGUCUGCACCUGGAACACCUGCCCGAGUGGAUUCCUUACACCUGUGUCACACGCUUGUCACACAUCUUCCCGAUCUCUCCCGUAGGACUUGGCGCUGUCGAACCUCUCCAAGGAAUCUGCACAUACAGCUCGGAGAAUAAAAGAGAGAAAACCGUCUUGCACAAACCCAGCCAGGUUUGGAUUCCCCUCGGGAGAGCAGGUGUGUGCUACCUUACCUGUGCUGUCGGUAAGAAUUCGCAAUGCCUUACUAGCACGUGAGUUCCACAACGGAGAAGUCAGUUUCACGUACUUUUCAGACAGCAAGAGCACGUUGAGGUGCAGCCAGUGUCGAGAACUCCCCAUAGCACUGCGACAUCACUUCCAUGGUCCCGACAGCAGAGGGCCGGCAGCACGGCCGGGGCAGGCCCUCGAGGUGAGCUGUGCUCGCUCUAAACCCAUCAGUCCCUGGACAGGCGCAUUUUAAUUUCUGUCUGAAGUGGAAAUAGUUUCUAGGGAGAACUCUAGAUCCACAGCAGGUCUGUCUGCUGCCAGUUCUGUCUGGAUGUGCUUCACCCUCCCUUUCAAGUCUGAGGGCUUGAGAGGGGUCAGCUCUGUUCAGAGAACCAGGCAGGCCUCAAUAAUCUCAAUGUCUUGGGGAACUUUCACUUGGCAAGUCGUAUCAGCUGCCUUGGGAAGAAAACCUGAAACCUGAGGGAAUCCUGAAAUGAAUGUCACUUGUCUGCUCAAUGACCUGAACUGGAAACACCUCCCUUCUUGGCAGUGCAGCUGAGGUAUUCCUUAUCCCAAACUCAAUUUCAGUCAGAAAAGACACAAGGUGAUGGGUUUAUUUUGUGUGGGUUUUUUUGAAGUGAAAUCUAACAAGAGUUUGCCACUUCUUCAGAACUGAGUGGUCUGGACAGACCUAAUGAUAACAUGUGUUAACUUAUCUAAUGUGGAUUAUAGGUAACACUGGAGUAAUUAAUCCUGCUGUAUU